UGUUUCUGUGGCCAAGUGGUUAGAUCUUUCGCCUCGGAUGCGGGAGUUCGUGGGUUCGAUCCCCGGUCGAGUCAU